rnacentral:rRNA from 1 species
UACGGAGGGUGCAAGCGUUAUCCGGAUUUAUUGGGUUUAAAGGGUAUGAAGGCGGUAAAGUAAGUCAGUGGUGAAAAGCAACAGCUUAACUGUAGUCGUGCCAUUGAUACUGCUUUACUAGAGAAACUUCGAGGUGAGAGGAAUUCCAUGUGUAACGGUGAAAUGCAUAGAUAUAUGGAGGAAGGCCGAAAACGAAGGUAUCUCACUAGGAUUUGUCUGACGCUGUAGUACGAAAGCGUGGGGAUCAAACGGG